AACCUUUAGUUCAACCCAAUAUUAAAGGCAAUGCCUGCCCAGUGAAACUAUUCAACGGCCGCGGUACCCUAACCGUGCAAAGGUAGCGUAAUCAUUUGUCUAUUAAUUGUAGACCAGUAUGAAAGGCAACAUGAGAGCCAAACCGUCUCUUGCAACUACUCAAUUAAACUGAUCUUUUAGUCCAAAAGCUAAAAUAUACAUAUAAGACCAGAAGACCCUGUGAAGCUUAAACUAACCUGUUAAACCAAAUAACAGCCACUUUCGGUUGGGGCGACCUUGGAACAAAAAAGAACUUCCAAUAAAAUGGUAUCCUCCAUAUUAAGGCCAACAAGCCACAAUACGACCCAGUCUACUGACUAAUGAACCAAGUUACUCCAGGGAUAACAGCGCUAUCUUCUUCAAGAGCCCAUAUCAAAAAGAAGGUUUACGACCUCGAUGUUGGAUCAGGACAUCCUAGUGGUGCAGCCGCUACUUAAGGUUCGUUUGUUCAACGAUUAACAGUCCUACG
rnacentral:rRNA from 1 species